rnacentral:rRNA from 1 species
UACGAAGGGGGCUAGCGUUGUUCGGAAUCACUGGGCGGAAAGGGCGCGUAGGCGGGUCUUUAAGUCAGGGGUGAAAUCCUGGAGCUCAACUCCAGAACUGCCUUUGAUACUGAAGAUCUUGAGUUCGGGAGAGGUGAGUGGAACUGCGAGUGUAGAGGUGAAAUUCGUAGAUAUUCGCAAGAACACCAGUGGCGAAGGCGGCUCACUGGCCCGAUACUGACGCUGAGGCACGAAAGCGUGGGGAGCAAACAGG